rnacentral:misc_RNA from 1 species
GCAAAUGAUGUGUUGUAUUAGGGACUAGCUGAUCAAGAUUCAAUACACACAGCUAUGUUUAAAAGUUGAUAUUAAAAUGUAAUGCUAGAACUAAAUUUGCAAUAACAAAGACUCGAUAAAUGCUCCACUAAGCUUAGGUACGAUAUUGCUACUUCUGGUCCAAACCCGCACAAGAAGAACAUUGAUUAGAACAUUCAGUUGCUGGACUUUGUACAAUGUGCGCAGCAGAAUCAUGCUCCCCAAGACUUCAUUUGCUUCAUUCUGUAGAAAUGGACUCUCCCUGUGCUUCUUUCUUUGAUUCUUCAUUUGCUUCAUCAAUUACUAUCUGUGAAUUAGAACUAGAUGCAACCUCCUCCAAUAUUUCAUUUGCUUCGUUCAGUAUAGUAGGACUGUCCGCAAUCUUUUUCCCUUUACUGCUCUUCUGCAAGUCCUUGUCUAUGCCACCAUGAGAAGCAGAAUGCUCAUUUGAAACUCCAUUUGCUUCAUCGAGUAAAACAAGACUCUCCACUAAAGUGUCCAAAUAAAAGGAGGGUGCGUUGCCCAAAAUUUCAGUGGCCGAGAUUUCUUCUGUCUUUGGAUCAUAGAAAA